rnacentral:rRNA from 1 species
CCUUAUCACCCUGAACACACCCGAUCUUGGAAGCUAGGCAGGGUCAGGCCUGGUUAGUACUUGGAUGGGAGAAGGGGAGCAAGGG